CCCUCAUCCUUAUCCCCUCUCCCCUGCUCCCUUUUUCUCUUCCUCUCCAAGGCAGAAACGGAGGAGAAAAUCCCCACCAAGCGCCAUGGACGCCGCCACGGGUCCUUGACCGUGUCGUCGACCUCGUCCACCUUAAGCCACGCCGCCACCACCGCUCGAAGCGCCACGCCGUCGCGCAUCUUCUGGUGCAAGCAAUUGAGCCCGGAGGCCUCAACCGCGUCGACUUCGCCCUCGGCAUCCGCGACCACCGGCGGGAAGUUUCGAUGAUUCCGGCCGUCGUAGCUCUCCUCCGUCGCCGGCGACCCCUCCUCGAGUUCUCUGAUGUUCAUCGCCGAUGACGCUCCGGCGCUCCCCUGACGACGGCGCCGCUGCUUCCUGGUUCGCGCCAACGAGACGACGCCGAUGCGCCCCUAGCUCUUCCUGGGACGCCUCCUAGCGCCGGCGAGCUUCUGCGCCAGGCCGCGGUCACCGCCUCCUCCUCGCCGCGCGCGGCAUCCCUUCGUGCGCAGAAGGUUGGCCACGCUGGCGCCACGUCGGCUCCCCUGGCCCCACCUGUCUGCGAGUCCGGCUAGGUCCCCCUCGGUGAGUAUUAGCCGCCAGAUCCAGAUCCUUUUGGUUUUUGCAAAAGGCCCCCUGCCAUCUUCUAUCAACCAACCCGGGGCCCCUCCCGCCGAGUCAGCCGCCCAGUCAGCCCUGGGCCCGCGCGUCAGUGACGGUGGCUUGCUUCCCUUCGCUUUUGCUUCUUCCCGGAUAGGAUCACGAAGUGGUGCGGCGAGAUACGACGAGUUCUCCGGAUGUUCCUCGGCAAGCUCUAACAGGCAA